rnacentral:piRNA from 1 species
UGGUCCUCAUUUAGGUUUUAGCUGUUGGA